rnacentral:lncRNA from 1 species
UUUCAAUCCCAGAUCCAAAAAUUUGGAUUUUUUUUGGUUUUAAUCCAAAUUUUCCAUUUUCCAACCCCAAAUUUUCAAUCCCAAAUCCCCAAAUUCCCAUUUUUUUUGGUUUCUGUCCCGAUUUUCCCAUUCCCAGAUCCCAAAAUUCCCAUUUUUUUGGGUUUCUGUCCCGAUUUUCCGCCCCCCGGGGGGGUCACCGGGGUCAUCCAAACAUUCCCGGACUUUGGAAUUCCGGGAAGUUCCGGGAAUUCGGGAAUUCCGGGAGCCCAAAUUCCUCCAGGUGACUCCGAGGGGGGGGAAAUUCCCAAUUUUGGGGACAUUUGGGGACAUUUGGGGACAUUUGGGGACAUUUUGGGGACAUUUGGGGACAUCCGGGGACAAUUUGGGGACAUUUGGGGACAUUUUGGGGCCAUUUGGGAUCAUUUUGGGGACAUUUUGGGGAUAUUUUGGGGACAUUUUGGGGCCAUUUGGGAUCAUUUUGGGGACAUUUGGGGACAUUCUGGGGACAUUUUGGGGCCAUUUGGGAUCAUUUUGGGACAUUUUGGGGAUAUUUUGGGGACAUUUUGGGGACAGGGGACAAUUUGGGCACAUUUGAGAUCAUUUUGGGGCCAUUUGGGAUCAUUUCGGGGACAUUUGGGGACAUUUUGGGGACAUUUAGUGACGUUUUGGGGACAUUUUUGGACAUUUGUGACCAUUUUGUGGCCAUUUUGGGACAUUUUGGGACAUUUUGGGACAUUUGUGGCCAUUUGUGGCCAAUUCUGGGACAUUUCGUGGCAUUUUAGGCACAUUUUGGGACAUUUGGGGACAAUUUGGGUUCAUUUUUGGGGACAUUUGGGACAUUUAGAGCCAUUUUAGGGACAUUUUGGGGACACUUAGAGCCAUUUUGGGAGCAUUUGGGGAAAUUUGGGGUUGUUUGGGGUAAUUUCGGGCCAUUUUGGGACCAUUUUGGGACCAUUUCGGAACAUUUGGGGACAUUUUAGGACAUUUUGGGGCCAUUUUGGGGCCAUUUCUGGACAUUUCGGGUCCCAUUUCGGGCAAUUUCGGGCAAUUUCGGAACAUUUCGGAACAUUUCGCGUCGGUUCCCAC